rnacentral:rRNA from 1 species
UCGGAGCUAACGCGUUAAGUAGACCGCCUGGGGAGUACGGUCGCAAGAUUAAAACUCAAAUGAAUUGACGGGGGCCCGCACAAGCGGUGGAGCAUGUGGUUUAAUUCGAUGCAACGCGAAGAACCUUACCUACUCUUGACAUCCAGAGAACUUAGCAGAGAUGCUUUGGUGCCUUCGGGAACUCUGAGACAGGUGCUGCAUGGCUGUCGUCAGCUCGUGUUGUGAAAUGUUGGGU